CUCCAUCCAAUCCGACUACCUUAUUCCAGUAGUACACUUUGCAUACAAGGAUCAUCAUGAGAAUCUCAUUAGGCGACUUAUUAGACAAAAGGCUGAAGGCGAGUCCAUAGAGCUGUGUGGAGAUGCCAGGUCUGACUCACCAGGCUACAGCUGCAAGUAUUCCACCUAUUCGUUUCAGCUUCUAUCCAGUAAUGAGAUCAUUCACUUUCAACUACUACAGGUAACGGAAGCUAGCAGUUCAGUUGCCAUGGAGUCCCAAGGCUGUAGGAGGGGCCUCAACCAUCUCAUUUUCAAUGAAGGAGUAGAU